UUUCAGAGAAGGGGAAUAGAGAGGAAAAUUGUAAACAUUCCCAACUGCUAUCUCAACCCAAACUGCAGCUUCUAGACCCACCCAUGGUGGCCUACUCCCUGCUUUCAAAACUGGCAUGCUUGGGUAUCCUCGCAGAGAGAGAGAGAGAGAGAGAUUUUAACCC